GUGCCGGCCGGCGCUGGAGCGGGCAGGCUGCUCAAAGUUUCUAGUGCCAUUCCUGGACCGAAACAAAUGUUUGUGGAAUUAAGUAGUGAUUUCCUUUAGUCUGCGCGACUCUUACUGGCUGUGUUUCCAGGCUCUAGAUGUUACCAUAUGCCAUAUAUUGCUUUCUCGGGGAGAAAUCGAGGGUUUCAAAGCACACUUAACCCAUCCUAACUGCUCACGUCAACUAGUCAAGGUCUGCAUUUUCUGAUAAAAAUAACCCGUAAAACUUCCAUAUUAAGAGCUAGAAUGGUUUGGAAGACAAAGAAAUGCUGAAAAAUCUUGACCAGCAGAAAGUAUUCCAUUUGCACAACAACACUGGAUUUGUGUGUGUGGGUCAUUAGCCACAGUACUCCUCCUCGGUUUGGGCAGAUUUUUUUAGAAGCCUAUUGGUAAGAGCCAUGUUUUUGCUUACUCCAUAUGCACCAUUUAAACCUAUCACAUCACUAUAACCUUCGUCAAAUAACCAUACAACAUAUUUAGUGUUAAUUUGUCACGCUGAAAUUAUUCAUCGGUGUCUUGAGUAAGUCCGAUAAUAUUUAUGGGUUAUGCCAUUCCAUGUUUUCUGGCAAUGCAGUUUGCUAGAUUUCAUAGAUUUACUGUGUCUGCUUUUUUAUGACUGACAUAGCAAUAACCAGAUUGCAGAGAUAUUUAUGUUGUUUGUGGCUUAGCAAGAUAAUUAAAGGAUAUAAAUUAAUCAAGUGCAAUUAAUUAGAAACUUUAUGUUCGCAGCAGUCCUUCUUUGCAUGUAUAAUUUAUAUUUAUUGAUUUCCUGGCUUUCAUUAGCCUAUGAGAUAACAGCAAAAAUGCAUUAGAGAAGAAAAUGUACAAUUAGCGUGAGAGUGAACCUUGGCAUAAUGGAUAGAUCAGCACAUGUUUGGGGCAAAUAUAAAGCUUUGUUAACUGUCAUAAGCAGUUAUAAUUGAUGAGUGGUAUUUCACUACAUAUCUUUCAGCUGAUUAACGGCGUUUUUAAAGAGUCCCCUUAAUGGGAAGCUGAUAGGUUGGCUAAAUUUACAUUUUAAUCAGAGUAUUUAUGAUGGAGGCAGCCCUAGAAAUUCAUUGGCAGAGGCAGAGGCGACAUUUCCUGAGGGACUGCAACAGGAGUGGGCUUUGGAGUGUGUCUACUCACCUAUUCCAUCUCUUGUCAUUUGUCUGAAAGGGUCUGUGGUGGGGGAGUGGUGGGAACAUCCGUGGCCUCUUCAACACUGGUCACGUUCCCCGUUAAUACCCUGCAGGAAGGGCCACAGGCCAGGAGAGGGGAAUCCCAGUCACGCUUGCCUGUCUUCUGUCCCUGGCUGUCAAAUGCCAGCCCCACGGGCAGCAACGGUGGCUCCCAAGCUUCCGCACCAAGGGCUCCCAGUAGGAGGGAGCGGUGCCUUAGCCAGAGGAAGGGCAACACCCGAGUUGAGCCUGCUUCUCAUAUUUCCCAACUGGGUUGAAAGCCAAGCCAAGCAGCUCCAAGGAGACCAUGCAAGAGACCACAGCCGUGGAUCCAAAGACACAUCGACUCAUGCUCAUAGCUCAACAGCUCCCAUUUCAAACCUGGAAGCAGAGCCUGGCCCUGAAUCGUAAAGCCUCUAAAACUCUGGCUCAUCCAAGCAGGACUAGGAUUAGAACAGUCAGAGGAAACUUUCAAGAGGGAGUCAAAAGUAAAUCCUCACAUAGCAAUACCUUCCUCCUUCCUUCACAAAAGGUGACAGGGGAUUCUUCCUCCAGAAUUCCCACUAGAAGACUGAAGUGGAAUUUUCCAUCACCCCUGUGAGCGAUUACAUGUCCAGAAGCUGAGAAAGGACAAAAGCUAUUAACAUUUCCUAGCCUAAUAUUCUCCCUGGUGGCUCAGAUGGUAAAGAGUCUGCCUGCAAUGCAAGAGACCUGGGUUCAAUCCCUGGGUCAGGAAGAUCCCUGGAGAAUGAAAUAGCAGCCCACUUCAGCAUUCUUGCCUGGAGAAUUCCAUGGACAGAGGAGGCUGGUGGACUACAGUCCAUGGGGUCACAAAGAGUUGGACACUACUGAGCAACUUUCACUUUCAGCCUGAUACUCUGUUUUCAUAUCAUGAAGCCCACAGGUUUGAUCUUUUUGUUCGUUGUAACAGACUUUGUGUUGGUGUCAGACUUUCUAAGAUGGUGUCAUGGGCAGCCCCCAACCAAACACUACAGGACUGUACAGUUAGUAAGGCCAGAGUGGGAUUCACGUCUUGCCUGUUGAGUAGUUUUGCAUGGACAUCUCUGCAGGAAAGGACCUAUUUUUUGUCAUUUCCACGUAGAGGUAGGACUGGACAGCCAUGUUAUACAUUUAGUGAGCCUUCCCAGUGUGGUCUUUAUAAGAAAAGAAUGUCAAGAAGACCUCUUGAAAUAAAAACAAAAGAACAUUCCUCCAAGGGGGCUCAUUCCUGAUUCGGAAACAAACCAGGGAGAUCCUUAGGUCAGCUUAGAAAAGGACUUGAACAGAGUGACACUGGAGACCUGGUCUGUUCUCAAGCAAAGACAAAAGCCAUUGCCCUGAGUCCUGCCAAGGGCCUUUUCUUCUUUUUAUUCCUGCUCCUAUGCAGCCUGAGUCUUUAGAACUCCCUCCCUUAUUUCCUGGUGGAGUCCCAUAAGUGUGUAUUGAAUAUUGACUGAAUCUUCCCUGAAUUUCCUUGCCCUGGGGCAAUUAGAGUUGAAUUAUAUACACCCAAGCGAGGCUACAAAUAAAAAAUUACUUUUCGUUUAUCUCUGUGAGAAGAAACCAGAAAUGAGCAAAUAUGAGAUUAAUAUAAGUGAAAGAGGAUACGGUUUCUGCUUUAUGUGGUGAUAAGCCCCUUUUUUCCUUUUCAUACUAAUUAUUAUUAUCAUUAUUAGUAUUAUUUUACCCCUCAAUUGCCUUAGGAUGUUAUCCAAGAGGAAGCACUGUAUCGGCUGGUGAAAGCUCCACAGUAUUAUUUAUUUCAUGUAAUAAAAUGUAUGUAAUGAUCAUGAUUAAUGUUUGUUUAUUGUUGUAUCAUUGUGUUUUCCUUCCAGUCUCAGUGUGAUACUGGUUUAAUUAAACUUGGGAGAGGGUGGGAGUGGGUUUGGGUGACAGUCUUCAGAACUUUAUACAAUAAUGGAGUCUGCAUUUGGUUGCACUUACAUGCCGAUUAAGAUGAAGAUGUCCUCAUAAAUGACUGAUUCUGUUUGUUCUUUUAAAGGAAAGUCCAUUCCCCAUCCUUUAUUGUGUAAUUUACAGAUAAAUUUGUUGUGACUCAGACCAAAGGCUUUUAUGUACAGAAAUUGCGAUGACAGUAGAAAUUAUGGUAAUUGAAGAGUGUUCUAUUUUAGGUUUUCCUCUGAUCACAUGAAAUGAUCAUCAGCAUCUUUCCUGGCCAUAAUCGUGCCCCAGAUUCCAAAUUAUUUUUUAUUAGUUUGUUAUCCAGUUUAACUGUUUGCUCAGGGAAGAGAAAGGCUGAGAGGGGAGAGCAAAAUAUUGUCAUUGCUGGUUGAUUGUCUUCUCUAAGGAAAAAUUAGAUAGGUGCAGUCGGGGCCAUUAUUUGUUUUCAUUUCUGGUGCACCCAAAAUUACUUUGCCAAGGCUCCCAUUACAUAGUUUCCUCAUUUCCUUGGGAAAAAUCAGAUGUAUGUCCUAAAUGGAAGCCAUAGAGCUUUGAAAUAAUACAUUUCUAAAAGUUUUUAAAGCUGAAUUCACAUAUGCCUUAACAUUUAAAGCAACUUACAGUUUCAAAACUGGGCUUCCCUGGCACCUCAGUAGUAAAAAAAAAAAAAAAAAAAAAAAAAGCCCUCCUGCCAAUGCAGGAGAUGUGCAUUCGAUCCUUGGGUCAGGAAGAUCCCUAGAGAAGGAAAUGGCAACCCACCCCAGUGUUCUUGCCCGGAAAGUCCUAUGGACAGGGGAGCUUGGUGGGCUAUAGUCCAUUGGAUAAUAAAAGAGUCAGACACGACUUAGUGACUCAACAACAACCACAGUUUCAAAACACUUUAAUAUCUAUUAUCUCAUUUUAGCAUCUCAACCUUUGAAGGAAGUAGGAUAUGAAAUUCUUUCAUUUAUAUAUAUAUAUAGGAUAUAUGUAUAGUUCAUAUGUUUUUC
ensembl:lncRNA